rnacentral:rRNA from 1 species
ACGGAAGGCAGCAGUGGGGAAUAUUGCACAAUGGGCGAAAGCCUGAUGCAGCGACGCCGCGUGAGCGAAGAAGUAUUUCGGUAUGUAAAGCUCUAUCAGCAGGGAAGAUAAUGACGGUACCUGACUAAGAAGCACCGGCUAAAUACGUGCCAGCAGCCGCGGUAAUACGUAUGGUGCAAGCGUUAUCCGGAUUUACUGGGUGUAAAGGGAGCGUAGGCGGUUUUACAAGUCUGAUGUGAAAGCCCGGGGCUCAACUCCGGUAUUGCAUUGGAAACUGUAGAACUAGAGUGUCGGAGGGGUAAGUGGAAUUCCUAGUGUAGCGGUGAAAUGCGUAGAUAUUAGGAGGAACACCAGUGGCGAAGGCGGCUUACUGGACGAUUACUGACGCUGAGGCUCGAAAGCGUGGGGAGCAAGCAGGAUUAGAUACCCUGGUA